rnacentral:rRNA from 1 species
GACGAACGCUGGCGGCGUGCCUAAUACAUGCAAGUAGAACGCACAGUUUAUACCGUAGCUUGCUACACCAUAGACUGUGAGUUGCGAACGGGUGAGUAACGCGUAGGUAACCUGCCUGGUAGCGGGGGAUAACUAUUGGAAACGAUAGCUAAUACCGCAUAAUAUUAAUUAUUGCAUGAUAAUUAAUUGAAAGGUGCAAUUGCACCACUACCAGAUGGACCUGCGUUGUAUUAGCUAGUAGGUGAGGUAACGGCUCACCUAGGCGACGAUACAUAGCCGACCGGAGAGGGUGAGCGGCCACACUGGGACUGAGACACGGCCCAUACUCCUACGGGAGGCAGCAGUAGGGAAUCUUCGGCAAGGGACGAAAGUCUGACCGAGAAACGCCGCGGGAGUGAAGAAGGUUGUCGGGUCGUAAAGCUCUGUUGUAAGGGAAGAACGGGUGUGAGAGUGGAAAGUUCACACUGUGACGGUAUCUUACCAGAAAGGAACGGCUAACUACGUG